UUUGCAAUCUACGCGGUGUAUCUCUGCAUCGUGUACGAGGCUAUGACCAUGGCUCUGACUCCGACGCUGGACACCUCCACCAAAAUGUGUCCAAUGUAACGCCACAACAAAGAACGUUAAUUGACGCCAAAAUGCUGCAGCAUAAAAAGCACAAAAAAGAGAGGGAAUCUCCGGAUGGAACAAAACUCUGAAAAAAGGCAAGAGAAUAACCAGCAAAGUGGGGAGGAAAUGUGAAAAAAACAAUUUUUCCAGUCGGACACAUUUUGCGGCAGGAGCAGGAGCAGCAUCAGUGUCGUGUCUUCGUUGGGUUUUGGGUAAAUUUAAAUGCGCCUGCGACCUGAUCUCCGUCCCGACCUGAUCCGACCCGACCCGACUCCAGACUCAAGUGGCUUUAUUAACCCUAUGAGAGGUCACACGGGUCUCCUAGGUCUACAAUCCCCUGGACGUUACAUCACUGGUCUACACUCCACUGCCCUUUCCUAACCGGGCAAAAGAGAGAGGGAAAGGAAGAGAGAGAGAGAGAGAGAGAGUGGGCGUUGUUGAAUCAGCACACGUGAUUAAUGGCCUUUAAUUAUGUCAAAGCGCGACGGAAGGACUCUGGCUCUGACUGGGCUACGUGUGUGUGUUCCUGUGCAACGGUAUGCCAGUUAAACGCUUGACAUUAAAAAAUUGACACCGUUCGGGGUGAAAUGUUGGCGACGUUCUGGUUCUGGGGUGGGCACUCUGCACACUCUCGGCCGAUGUGUUUUUGCUUCUCUCUGACAACUGUCUGGCACACGGGACUCGGUAGUUCCCCCACGAGACUUGUCUUUUCGGCCUGGCCCGAACACACACACAAACGCCACUCCAUGGACUGAGCCACAACUCCUUUGGACAUUUGUUACCAAGCCCCGUGAUUGUGUGUGGGCGUGUGUUUCGGUUGUCGCUUUUAAUGAAAGCGUCAUAAAUUAUGUUGCAGUUGACGAAAGCAACAGCGAAGCUAUCGUCUCCGUCCAGAGUCAGAGGUUACAGAGCGGGGGUUACUUAGCAUAUGGCCUGAACAUACACACCUCCUACGUUUGUAUGUUUGGCUUUUGGAGUUGCAGCAGCGCAGCAGAAAGGGGUACCAAGUGCUUUAAAUAUGUUAAACAGGUGAAACCAUUAACCAAAGAAUAAUGCAUUUUACUCAAAUUUAAGUAUACAAAUGCAACUAAAUAGUUCUUAGAAUAGAAACACAGACAGAUAUAUUAGGUAGAGUCCAAAGAGAAAUUUCCAGAUAUCAUCUGCCUUCACCUUCAACCAUGGUAUCUGUUGCUGUUUCAGUGCUUGUGGCCCAAUUUGUUUCCGGUUCGUUGUAUUCAUCAAACUUUCGUUAAUCAAUCUAAUCUCCCAUGGUGGCAUUGGAAGUGUUGAUUCCCCGCUCAUCCCCGCAGAAUCACUUGCAAAUCGAUGACUGAACGCCGAGCCACUAGUCGAUUUAGCGCCAGCCGCGAGAACCUCCAGCCUGGUGGUGCACAAGAGAAAGACCAGAGCGGAGAGUAGUAAGAACAGCUUAAUAUACGACAUUUUAUUUUGCCAAAUGUCUGAGUUCUACUGUUACACUAUCACCAGACUCGUUCGAAUUGAAUGAACAGGUAAGCACACCCAUAUAGUAUUUACACAGCAUGCUUGUUCAGUUUUAUUUCUCUUUUAAGUACAAAAAGCUGCAAGUCUACGAUAUUCAGAAAAUGCCACUUCGAUGCCGAGCAACUUCUGAGGAGUUUGGAACCCAUUGCUGGGUAAAGAUCUACCAGAGAACUCUCUUUAUUGUUGGUUGCCUGAAAACAGUUUUCUAUUUGCUCUCUUCUCAGAUGUUUCUCGGACCCCAGUCGGAGGGGGAGUGCUUGUCUCUUCAACUGUGGAAGCUUUUACGUUUCUGCAUCAAAAUAUCGUGUGUUCUGGGGAUGCGGCUAUCGGUUCACAUUUGAACUGGAAAUUGUAAGAAUUCCUUGUGCUAAAAAAUCUUUUCAAACUCUCAGUACAUAUCGAAGGGAGCAGCAUCCUCCCUUUUGCUAGCCCUGUGCCCUGUGCCCUGUGCCCUUUGCUAUUUGCCAAAUCAAAUAAUUAUAAAAGUUCUGCCCCCGCCACGCCCACAGUCCGCCCACAGCCUUUGCCAUAGGGCUCACAGAAACAGAACUUGAAACAAACUUUUGGCUCAAAAAAGGUGCAGCGGCAAAAGUUUCGAGCCAACUAGCAAAAAUUUCAUUUAGGCGCAUUUAGGCGUCAGCUACAGUUGGAAGGUGAAAGGAAGAGAUCGGGGGACUCCCGCCCAGAUAGAAAUUCUUAAAGCCAGUACGAGAGCAUAGAAAUCAUAUUUGGACACAAAUUUUAUGCAGCCUCAGCGGCGGCGUCGACGGCGUCGGCGGCGGGAAAACUUUUUUUGCCAACGCUGCAGGCGAAAACUUUCG
rnacentral:lncRNA from 1 species